rnacentral:rRNA from 1 species
AUGGGCACCCAGGUAGGUCUUAUCCUUCGUGCACUGGGCUUUGAUAAUACAACACACAUUUACCUUACUUCUGGAGAUCUCUUUGGUGGGAAACGCUUCAUGAGGCCCUUCAAGGCUAUGUUUCCGCGCCUAGAAAACCAUAGCUCCGUUGGACCUGGAAAGCUGGAAGAAAAUACCCAUGGGUUGGCAGGUUCUGCAGUUGAUUACAUGGUCUGUCUCCUAUCAGACAUUUUUAUGCCCACAUAUGAUGGCCCAAGCAACGUUGCAAACAACCUCACUGGUCACCGCCUAUACUAUGGUUUCCGUACCACCAUCACACCAAAUAGGAAGGCCCUUGCUCCGAUAUUCAUGGACAGGGAAGUAGGCUCGACAGCUGGUUUUGAGGAGCGAGUGAGGCAGGUCAUGAUGAAGACAUAUGUUGGUGGCCCCCACAAGCGCAUUCAUCCGGAACCUUUCUAUACAAACUCAUGGCCAGAGUGCUUUUACCAGGAGAACCCUAGGAAUCAUGCAGACAAAUGCCCACCAGACAAUAUAUACGAGGUUCUGGAGAAUCAAUUUCGGAGUGAAGAGAAUGAAGAAAAGGACGAGACUGGAUCAUUUAUGCCUGUAGCAGAUUAUUGCAUUUUCGAAUGGAUUGACUAUCGAGGUCCGCCGUUGGAGAUUGAUGUUGUGGCUGGUCCUGUGGUGGAUGGCUUGUUGGGGACGCUCUUGGUGACGACCUUGGGAGGGGUUAGGGAGGUGGAGCCUCAGGUGGUUCCGCUUUCCCCCACCACCCCAGUGGUCUCGAGCCGGGAAACGACGUCAGUCUCAGAGCCUGGCGCCGGAGACACCGGUGACGCCGACAAUGGUCGGCCGUGGGGGAGGCCGCAUGGGUCAGGCGGACCCGACCCUUUCUCCUACGGUGGCGGCUAUUGUGGCCGCAUCUCCGGUGCGGCUGGGGACGGGUCUGGGGCAGGUGGCCUCCAUUCAUCCUCCUCCUUCGCCAGUCAGGCCAUCGACGACCUCAGGUCAUGCAGUCCGGGCGGGAGGAGAGUCUGGGCCGGCGGCGCCCGAAUUGCUUCCAUCUUAUCUCUAGGAGGCGUCUGUCGGUGCACUAAGAACGGGGUCCUUAGUACCCCAGACUUCUUCUUCUUCUGCUCCCCCUCCCCCUCCUCCUCCUACUCCUGCUCCUCCUCCUCCUCCUCCUCCUCCUCCUCCUCCUCCUCCUUAUCCUUCUUCUUCUGCUUCUGCUUCUCCUUCUUCUCCUUCUUCUUCUCCUUCUUCUCCUUCAUCUUCUUCUCCUCCUUCUCCUCCUUCUUCUCCUUCUUCUUCUCCUUCUCCUACUCGAGAAGAGUAAGGGAGGAUUGGGUUGGUGUGAGGGCGGCGGCAUCAGCGGAGGCGGCGAAAUUGUUUCUGGUGGGUAGAAGAAGAAGAAGGAGCGGGGGAGAACAAGAGCGAAUGAGCAGUGUCCCUUCAUAG